rnacentral:rRNA from 1 species
CUACGGGGCGCACCAGUGGGGAAUAUUGCACAAUGGGCGCAAGCCUGAUGCAGCCAUGCCGCGUGUAUGAAGAAGGCCUUCGGGUUGUAAAGUACUUUCAGCGGGGAGGAAGGGAGUAAAGUUAAUACCUUUGCUCAUUGACGUUACCCGCAGAAGAAGCACCGGCUAACUCCGUGCCAGCAGGCCGCGGUAAUACGGAGGGUGCAAGCGUUAAUCGGAAUUACUGGGCGGAAAGCGCGCGCAGGCGGUUUGUUAAGUCAGAUGUGAAAUCCCCGGGCUCAACCUGGGAACUGCAUCCGAUACUGGCAAGCUUGAGUCUCGUAGAGGGGGGUAGAAUUCCAGGUGUAGCGGUGAAAUGCGUAGAGAUCUGGAGGAAUACCGGUGGCGAAGGCGGCCCCCUGGACGAAGACUGACGCUCAGGUGCGAAAGCGUGGGGAGCAAACAGGAUUAGAUACCCCUGUAGUC